CCCUGGGAGACUAGUGGUUAGGCCUCUGCACUCUCACCACCAUGGCCCGGGUUCAAUUCCCAGCACAAGGGG